GGAACAGGUGGUGAUGGAGCAAACACAGUUAACAUUUCGAUUGGAGCUUCGAUACUUGCUGCAGCUUGUGGUACCAAAAUUGCAAAGGAAAUCAUUCAAGUUCUUUGGCAUGUGGAAGUGCCGAUGUAUUAGAAGAGUUGGGGAUAGUUAUCGACCUGGAACCUGAGCAGCUUCUCAUCUUGUAAGAGUGUAACUGAACUAAUUAUCACAUGGUCAAUAUAUCUCCUGAUAACAAGGAGUUUCAAGCUGUGUCAAAGAAGCAGGCAUUGGAUUUAUGAUGGCUCCAACAUAUCAUCCAGCAAUGAAGCUUGUCCGCUCAGUCAGGAAAAAGCUAAAAGUAAAAACUGUAUUUAAUAUAUUGGGCCCUAUGUUAAACCCAUCAAGAGUACAGUAUGUUGUUGUGGGUGUCUAUGCAGAAGAUUUGGUCUUGAAGAUGGCUAAAGCAUUGCAGCGAUUUGCAUGAAAUAUGCAUUAGUUGUUCACUCAGAGGGCUUGGAUGAGAUGAGCCCCCUUGGUAAUGCGUCUAGUAGUUGGAAAGUUUUGACUUCCAUAAGCUAAUUUUUUUUAUAUACAAGUUUCAGUGUACAUAAUCUUCAAAACUACUCAUAAGUUAUUUGACACAGGACCUGGGCUAAUCCUUGAUGUUACACUAUAAAAGAUUGAGAAGUUCUCAUUUGAUCCAUUGGACUUUGGGAUUCCUUGGUGUACCCUGGAUGACUUGCGAGGUGGAGGCCCAGAGUAUAAUGUCGAGGCACUAAAGCGUGUAUUGUCAGGGGAGAAAAGUUCAAUUGCAGAUGCAUUUGGAUCGCUUUGGCUCACGAGACUCAACUAUCAGGCAAAGCUAUCAAGACGCUCGAUCAUUGGAUAGAUGUGUCCAAUGGGGUUUGAAUCUUAUUGUUGCCAUCUCACAUGCUGAACAAAGAGAAGUAGAUACCUGGCACUUCAUGCAAACAGCCCCUUGGCUGGGUUUACUUCCUAGUGCAUAUGGUCAAGUAUUACAUUCUCAAGAUGGUGGAGAUAGUCCAAUUGUCAGUUUCUUUAAAUCAGUCACUGCUGCAAUAUUAUCUAAGCCAGGAUGCCCAAAUCCAACCUCUUUUAGCACCCUUUCAAAACAAGCAGAAGCUGCAGGUACAGAGCUGAACAUUCAAUAUUUCGAAAGCUCAUUGUAUGUAUAUAUCAUCGAUUCUCGGGUAGUUCAAAUUGUCAAACAUGUGGUUUGCUCUCAUAAAGUUUGAGAUUCGAGUUUUCUUGAACAUCUACAUAGCUAUUCCUCAAAUAUUGUAGGGUUAGGCGGAGAGUAGUUUAAAUAUGCAUCAAUUAUCAAUACCCUCUUCUCAUAUAUUUAGUUCAGUGCUCUUUUGGGGCAAGAUAGUUUUAACACUCAUUGCUUGCUUUCUUUGCAACAUUGUUGUCAUGAGACAUCGUCAAGCUGUGCAGAUAUUAGUUUAUUUGAAUGUUUUCUGUGAGAAAUCAAAACAUUUACUCGAAACAUUUUCAGCCUUCAAUAAUGACGAUCACUUAAAUUCUCCGCUU